ensembl:lncRNA
AGCUCCCGCGAGGCUUCGAGCGGACUUUGAUGUUUCCUCCGGUUUCUGUGUGGACCAGGAUCCACUAGAUGGAAUGUCGAGGCGACACACCCGCUGAUAGGAAGAAGGAAUGCUUGACGUGCGGACACAUAAGGCUCCUCUUCUAACAGAUAUGUGCAUGCAUACAGCAGAAUAUGGAUUGAUUGGAUUAUGGUGUCCGCCACCGAUGUGAAAGGAUGCGGAGAACACGCUCAUCAAUGUGCUACAACGUCAACAUUCUAAUCAAAAUACGAGGUGCUUCCCAGGCGAAUUGUUUCCAACAGCGGCAGGGACUCUGGGACUUAAAGUGAGGACUUGACAUACGUUGUGUGCGGUUGGGGGGGGGGUCCUUAUAAAGAGCGACACAGCGUGUAGGAAUAGUAAAGCGGGUCAAACAAACAGCACUUUCUCCCAGGAGACCGUUGUUUGUGUUCUAACCAGAAGUCAACACACGAAAAUCUGAAAUGAAUAUCAACGGCUUUUUAUUCGCUAUAUGGGGCGGGGCUAGAAAUCUCUUUGUAAGACGAGAUUUCUCAAAAAGGUAAAUAUUCUUACGUCUCUUCUUAAGUGUUUAAUCAGGUAUGAAUAUUAACUAACGAUCCACACAUCAUUUAGGAGUCAUUGUUUUCAUCUUCCAACCAGAAGGUUGGCGAUUCUCAACAAACUGCUCUCCGCAUAACUAAAUGAAUAUAAACGAUAAGUAAUUCAACCUUAAUGACAGUCGAUUUUCAGUCGAUUAUGUUUACCGUCACGGCUGUACUAAAUAGUGUGACAUUUGAAAGGCCGCACACAAAAGGCACGCACCUGUCUGGUAGAGCAGCGAUAUACAAUAACAGGAAUUACACUGAGAAAACCUAAUCACACAAUGACAUUUGUAUCAUUUAUUUCAAGGGGAUCGCUUCAUAACAAGCUUAGAAUCUAAAUAAAAAAGGAAAUCAGUGGAGACCAAGCCGGCAAAUCUGAAUGUAUGUUUGAGAAGAUAUGCUUCACUAACAAGUCGCAUCACAAAUAUUGAUAUCCAGUCUGAAGUGUUACAGUGUGAUAACGACUGAUAAUGAGGUGAGACGGGUUCCAUGUAAAUGAACGCGGAAAAGAUUCUGUAUUUUUAUGCUAAAUCGGCCUAAUAAAAACAUCAGGGAUUCAUAUAUUUCACCAGGAAUGAUACAAAUCUCUGUAUUAUUCAUGGUCUUUGCCCAAACCUGCUAAAUGGAUCAAUCUGUGUUAACGCAGGAACAACCGUAGAAAUAAAGGACCGCGGUAACUAAAACAACGAUGCCACGGGGCGCCCUUUGAAAACAAAACAAUGAAAAUACGAAGAAAAUGAAUAUUUUAACCUAUCGUCGUCUCCAGAGAACACCUCAUUAAGCUCCAUAACGAGUGAGCGACAGGCCACAUUAGACCUCGCACAGCAGGAGGCUGCUGCUGCACAAUCUGAUGAAACUUUCCAGGCAAACACUUGUCAGCGGCGCCGUGAUCGCGGCGCAGAAGCAGGUGUUUUGUUUAUGACAGCUGGUGGGAAACACAAAAAUCAAUGGGUGCACCGAAAUAUUCCUCAUAGAACUUUAAAACAAUUCCAGUUUCAGUCGCCGCGUGAUAACUCGGUUUAAGCGAG